rnacentral:rRNA from 1 species
GAUGAACGCUGGCGGCGUGCCUAAUACAUGCAAGUCGAGCGAACGGACGAGAAGCUUGCUUCUCUGAUGUUAGCGGCGGACGGGUGAGUAACACGUGGAUAACCUACCUAUAAGACUGGGAUAACUUCGGGAAACCGGAGCUAAUACCGGAUAAUAUUUUGAACCGCAUGGUUCAAAAGUGAAAGACGGUCUUGCUGUCACUUAUAGAUGGAUCCGCGCUGCAUUAGCUAGUUGGUAAGGUAACGGCUUACCAAGGCAACGAUGCAUAGCCGACCUGAGAGGGUGAGCGACCACACUGGAACUGGGACGCGGUCCAGACACCUACGGAAGGCAGCAGUAAGAAAUCUUCCGCGAUGGGCGAAAGCCUGACGGAGCAGCGCCGCGUGAGUGAUGAAGGUCUUCGGAUCGUAAAACUCUGUUAUUAGGGAAGAACGUAUGUGUAAGUAACUGUGCACAUCUUAACGGUACCUAAUCAGAAAGCCAGAGCUAACUACGUG